UCCUUUGCAGCCUAGCUUGAGUUCAAGCCAGGCCGCUCAGAAAAACUGUUCAUUAACCGGUGCAGUUUGAAGCUGCACUUGCAAAAGAAGAAAGGAAAGAAUCAGAAGGAAAGAAAGAUUGUUUUUCUCCUUGAAGUUGGGUCACCUGGCAUUAUGGUGAUGUAAGACAACAGGCUUUCCGAGGUUGGACAACAUGCAGAGUUGGCGAGAGAGCUAUUAAAGAGCAGGAAGGAGAGAACUCUCACAAAUAAGCGAGAGGAAAGCUGGUGAUCUUUGCUAUCCUGCCAUCCACCUGCCACGUGUAAAAUUCAAGGAUAACAAACAAAAGCAUCAGGCAUAUGACUCCUACUGGAACGAUUAAGCCAGGAGAUAAUCAACUAGAAUGUUAAGGAAACAAACUCUUCUCAGAGUAACUAGCCAAGAAGUUUGAAUGGCCUCAGAGCUCCCACCAGAGAGGCCAAAAGUCUCUCUGCUCAAUCACCUCCCAGAGUAGCUGGAAGAAGAUUCACAUUUUAGAAGCCAUUUCUCAGAGACCUAAAAUAUGCUCUUCCUGGCUGGCAUCAUUUUAAAUACUUUCAACACCUAAUAGCUAUCAGGAAAACACAAUUUUUAACCUUUGUUUUAACUAUUGAGCCUCAGCUUGGGCAUAAAAUAUUAUGCUUUUUGUCUUACUAACCCGGACUGUUCUCUCUUGAGGAUCCUUGCUGAGAAAUUGCAAGCAAUCUGUGACUCUGUGUCUGCUUCCCUCCUUUUCUUCCUGAUUCCAAGGCUAUAUAUUCAAAUCUCAGCAGAACAGGACUGGUUGCAUGGCAUGCCCCCCUUCCCUAUACGAAAUAUCCUUUGCUGUUCUAGACGGGUCUUCUUUGGAACGCCUCUUUCCUUGCUUUGUUGGCAAAUGUGUUCAUAAGGCUCCAGGAUGAACUUCCCUUUGCAUCCUCAGAACAACGUCUGAAUUCUCCACAGAUCUUUCUCCUUCUCCAUCCUUCUUUUAACCUCCCCCCAAAAAACCCCUUGUCAUUCCCCCCAAAUUUAAUUGCUUUCCAUUUCUUCCCAACGCUUUGACAUCCACCACCACCCCCAGCAAUCCAAGCCUAUUUUUGACAAGCCACUUCAAGCCUCUCCACUGGUUUCCCCCGGUCUGUUUCUGUCUCUUACCCCUCUGUUCCUGUUAACUCUUUCACUCUUUGCUCAACACUUUGCUUCUUCCCUUCCAGGCCUCCCCAAAUCCUCCUACUUUUAUCAAAAUCACAAAAUUGUAUCUGCAUUCCUUGCUUACUUCUCUACCACCACCCACCACUUCAGGGA